GGGUUGUGAGGUUAAGCGACUAAGCGUACACGGUGGAUGCCCUGGCAGUCAGAGGCGAUGAAGGGCGUGCUAAUCUGCGAUAAGCGCCGGUAAGGUGAUAUGAACCGUUAUAACCGGCGAUACCCGAAUGGGGAAACCCAGUGUGAUUCGUCACACUAUCAUUAACUGAAUCCAUAGGUUAAUGAGGCGAACCGGGGGAACUGAAACAUCUAAGUACCCCGAGGAAAAGAAAUCAACCGAGAUUCCCCCAGUAGCGGCGAGCGAACGGGGAGGAGCCCAGAGCCUGAAUCAGCAUGUGUGUUAGUGGAAGCGUCUGGAAAGGCGCGCGAUACAGGGUGACAGCCCCGUACACAAAAGCGCAUGUGCUGUGAGCUCGAUGAGUAGGGCGGGACACGUGGUAUCCUGUCUGAAUAUGGGGGGACCAUCCUCCAAGGCUAAAUACUCCUGACUGACCGAUAGUGAACCAGUACCGUGAGGGAAAGGCGAAAAGAACCCCGGCGAGGGGAGUGAAAAAGAACCUGAAACCGUGUACGUACAAGCAGUGGGAGCNNNNNNNNNNNNNNNNNNNNNNNNNNNNNNNNNNNNNNNNNNNNNNNNNNNNNNNNNNNNNNNNNNNNNNNNNNNNNNNNNNNNNNNNNNNNNNNNNNNNNNNNNNNNNNNNGGGCGUUAAGUUGCAGGGUAUAGACCCGAAACCCGGUGAUCUAGCCAUGGGCAGGUUGAAGGUUGGGUAACACUAACUGGAGGACCGAACCGACUAAUGUUGAAAAAUUAGCGGAUGACCUGUGGCUGGGGGUGAAAGGCCAAUCAAACCGGGAGAUAGCUGGUUCUCCCCGAAAGCUAUUUAGGUAGCGCCUCGUGAAUUCAUCUCCGGGGGUAGAGCACUGUUUCGGCUAGGGGGCCAUCCCGGCUUACCAACCCGAUGCAAACUGCGAAUACCGGAGAAUGUUAUCACGGGAGACACACGGCGGGUGCUAACGUCCGUCGUGAAGAGGGAAACAACCCAGACCGCCAGCUAAGGUCCCAAAGUCAUGGUUAAGUGGGAAACGAUGUGGGAAGGCCCAGACAGCCAGGAUGUUGGCUUAGAAGCAGCCAUCAUUUAAAGAAAGCGUAAUAGCUCACUGGUCGAGUCGGCCUGCGCGGAAGAUGUAACGGGGCUAAACCAUGCACCGAAGCUGCGGCAGCGACACUGUGUGUUGUUGGGUAGGGGAGCGUUCUGUAAGCCUGCGAAGGUGGCCUGUGAGGGUUGCUGGAGGUAUCAGAAGUGCGAAUGCUGACAUAAGUAACGAUAAAGCGGGUGAAAAGCCCGCUCGCCGGAAGACCAAGGGUUCCUGUCCAACGUUAAUCGGGGCAGGGUGAGUCGACCCCUAAGGCGAGGCCGAAAGGCGUAGUCGAUGGGAAACGGGUUAAUAUUCCCGUACUUGGUGUUACUGCGAAGGGGGGACGGAGAAGGCUAUGUUGGCCGGGCGACGGUUGUCCCGGUUUAAGCGUGUAGGUGUGUGUUCCAGGUAAAUCCGGUUCACUUUAACACUGAGGCGUGACGACGAGGCACUACGGUGCUGAAGCAACAAAUGCCCUGCUUCCAGGAAAAGCCUCUAAGCAUCAGGUAACAUCAAAUCGUACCCCAAACCGACACAGGUGGUCAGGUAGAGAAUACCAAGGCGCUUGAGAGAACUCGGGUGAAGGAACUAGGCAAAAUGGUGCCGUAACUUCGGGAGAAGGCACGCUGACACGUAGGUGAAGUGAUUUACUCAUGGAGCUGAAGUCAGUCGAAGAUACCAGCUGGCUGCAACUGUUUAUUAAAAACACAGCACUGUGCAAACACGAAAGUGGACGUAUACGGUGUGACGCCUGCCCGGUGCCGGAAGGUUAAUUGAUGGGGUCAGCGCAAGCGAAGCUCCUGAUCGAAGCCCCGGUAAACGGCGGCCGUAACUAUAACGGUCCUAAGGUAGCGAAAUUCCUUGUCGGGUAAGUUCCGACCUGCACGAAUGGCGUAAUGAUGGCCAGGCUGUCUCCACCCGAGACUCAGUGAAAUUGAACUCGCUGUGAAGAUGCAGUGUACCCGCGGCAAGACGGAAAGACCCCGUGAACCUUUACUAUAGCUUGACACUGAACAUUGAGCCUUGAUGUGUAGGAUAGGUGGGAGGCUUUGAAGUGUGGACGCCAGUCUGCAUGGAGCCGACCUUGAAAUACCACCCUUUAAUGUUUGAUGUUCUAACGUGGACCCGUUACCCGGGUUGCGGACAGUGUCUGGUGGGUAGUUUGACUGGGGCGGUCUCCUCCUAAAGAGUAACGGAGGAGCACGAAGGUUGGCUAAUCCUGGUCGGACAUCAGGAGGUUAGUGCAAUGGCAUAAGCCAGCUUGACUGCGAGCGUGACGGCGCGAGCAGGUGCGAAAGCAGGUCAUAGUGAUCCGGUGGUUCUGAAUGGAAGGGCCAUCGCUCAACGGAUAAAAGGUACUCCGGGGAUAACAGGCUGAUACCGCCCAAGAGUUCAUAUCGACGGCGGUGUUUGGCACCUCGAUGUCGGCUCAUCACAUCCUGGGGCUGAAGUAGGUCCCAAGGGUAUGGCUGUUCGCCAUUUAAAGUGGUACGCGAGCUGGGUUUAGAACGUCGUGAGACAGUUCGGUCCCUAUCUGCCGUGGGCGCUGGAGAACUGAGGGGGGCUGCUCCUAGUACGAGAGGACCGGAGUGGACGCAUCACUGGUGUUCGGGUUGUCAUGCCAAUGGCACUGCCCGGUAGCUAAAUGCGGAAGAGAUAAGUGCUGAAAGCAUCUAAGCACGAAACUUGCCCCGAGAUGAGUUCUCCCUGAGACUUAGAGUCUCCUGAAGGAACGUUGAAGACGACGACGUUGAUAGGCCGGGUGUGUAAGCGCAGCGAUGCGUUGAGCUAACCGGUACUAAUGAACCGUGAGGCUUAACCUUACAACGCCGAAG
rnacentral:rRNA from 1 species